AUACGGAGGAUCCGAGCGUUAUCCGGAUUUAUUGGGUUUAAAGGGUGCGCAGGCGGCCAUUUAAGUCAGCGGUUAAAUCGUGGGGCUCAACCCCAUUCUGCCGUUGAUACUGGGUGGCUUGAUUGCGGUCGAGGUUGGCGGAAUUCGUUGUGUAGCGGUGAAAUGCAUAGAUAUGACGAAGAACACCGAUUGCGUAGGCAGCUGACCAGACCGCAAAUGACGCUCAUGCACGAAAGUGCGGGGAUCGAACAGGAUUAGAUACCCUGGUAGUCCGCACAGUAAACGAUGAAUACUUGUUUUCGGCGAUAUAAUGUCGGAGGCAAAGCGAAAGCGAUAAGUAUUCCACCUGGGGAGUACGCCGGCAACGGUGAAACUCAAAGGAAUUGGCGGG
rnacentral:rRNA from 1 species